rnacentral:rRNA from 1 species
UCNUACGGGAGGCAGCAGUGGGGAAUAUUGGACAAUGGGCGGAAGCCUGAUCCAGCAACGCCGCGUGAGGGAUGACGGCCUUCGGGUUGUAAACCUCUUUCACCUCGGACGAAGCGCAAGUGACGGUACGAGGGGAAGAAGCACCGGCCAACUACGUGCCAGCAGCCGCGGUAAUACGUAGGGUGCGAGCGUUGUCCGGAAUUAUUGGGCGUAAAGGGCUCGUAGGCGGUUUGUCGCGUCGGGAGUGAAAACCUCGGGCUUAACUCGGGGCUUGCUUUCGAUACGGGCAGACUAGAGGUAUGCAGGGGAGAACGGAAUUCCUGGUGUAGCGGUGAAAUGCGCAGAUAUCAGGAGGAACACCGGUGGCGAAGGCGGUUCUCUGGGCAUUACCUGACGCUGAGGAGCGAAAGUGUGGGGAGCGAACAGGAUUAGAUACCCUGGUAGUCCACACCGUAAACGUUGGGCGCUAGGUGUGGGAUCCAUUCCACGGGUUCCGUGCCGCAGCUAACGCAUUAAGCGCCCCGCCUGGGGAGUACGGCCGCAAGGCUAAAACUCAAAGGAAUUGACGGGGGCCCGCACAAGCGGCGGAGCAUGCGGAUUAAUUCGAUGCAACGCGAAGAACCUUAC